GCUUGGCGGCAAUAGCGCUGUGGUCCCACCUGAUCCCAUUCCGAACUCAGAAGUGAAACGCAGCUGCGCCGAUGGUAGUGUGGGGUCUCCCCAUGUGAGAGUAGGUCAUCGCCAAGCGC
rnacentral:rRNA from 1 species